rnacentral:lncRNA from 1 species
UGUGGGUCAUACAUCAGAUAUUCUAUAUAAUCAAAUAUUUACAUUAAGGUUCAUAGCAGUAGCAAAAUUAUAGUUAGGAAAUAGCAAUAAAAAUGAUUUUAUGAGUGGAAGUCACCAAAACAUGAGAACUGUAUUAAAGGGUUGCAGUAUUAGGAAAGUUGAGAAACACUGUAUUAUGGGAUCUUUCUAUCUGUUGAGUGUAAGGUCACAAGGUCUCACGGAAAAAAAAGAAAAAAAGAUGCAUCCCUUGGAUAAACAGCUUUAAUAAAGCUCGUACUGGGACUACGCUUAGGAAGCUUGAGUCAAAGGAAGUUCACUGAAUUGUCAGCGUGCCAUAGUCAGUGUCCAUCCUGAGAAGAGACCUAUCACUAGCCCUUCUCUACAGAGCAGUCAAUCCACUCUCAGCUCAUCUUAGGGGACUGGUAUACAUCUAUCCACAUGCGGUGCUACACGAAACAGCUGGAGGUAGCAACUCUGACACAAACAUCCUGAAAAGCGAAUUCUGAAUGGAGCGUGGGUUGUAACGAGGGAAACUCAGGAAUACAGUGAUCCUGCCCUUUAUCAUAUGAAGCAAUACCAGAUGUAUGCUUUUUUUUUUUCAAUGUUUUUCAAGGCAUUGAGGACAGACCUAGAGACUGACCAGGAUUGGGGUGUAGAAGAAUAAUCUAGUACAUAAUUAGGUGCUUCAGUUGCACUGUGCAGUGUUCUAGCAACCCAGUGGGGUUUGGAUUCUUCCCACCAUUUUUUGGCAAUAG